UACGUAGGGUGGGAGCGUUAAUCGGAAUUACUGGGCGUAAAGUGUGCGCAGGCGGCCGCGCAAGUCGAGUGUGAAAGCCCCGAGCUUAACUUGGGAAUUGCGCUCGAAACUACGUGGCUGGAGUGUGGCAGAGGAAGGUGGAAUUCCAGGUGUAGCGGUGAAAUGCGUAGAGAUCUGGAGGAACACCGAUGGCGAAGGCAGCCUUCUGGGCCAACACUGACGCUCAUGCACGAAAGCGUGGGGAGCAAACAGG
rnacentral:rRNA from 1 species